CUAUUCCUACGGGGCGCAGCAGUGGGGAAUAUUGGUCAAUGGGCGAGAGCCUGAACCAGCCACGUCGCGUGAAGGAUGACGGCCCUACGGGUUGUAACCUUCUUUUGUCAGGGAGCAAUUGGGUCCACGCGUGGGCUUAGCGAGAGUACCUGAAGAAAAAGCAUCGGCUAACUCCGUGCCAGCAGCCGCGGUAAUACGGAGGAUGCGAGCGUUAUCCGGAUUUAUUGGGUUUAAAGGGUGCGUAGGCGGAAUAUCAAGUCAUCGGUAAAAAUUCGUUGCUCAACCCCGUCGUGCCGUUGAAACUG
rnacentral:rRNA from 1 species